GAUGAACGCUAGCUACAGGCUUAACACAUGCAAGUCGAGGGGAAACGACAUCGAAAGCUUGCUUUUGAUGGGCGUCGACCGGCGCACGGGUGAGUAACGCGUAUCCAACCUGCCCAUCACUUGGGAAUAACCUUGCGAAAGUAAGACUAAUACCCAAUGAUAUCCCACGAAGGCAUCGGAAUGGGAUUAAAGAUUUAUCGGUGAUGGAUGGGGAUGCGUCUGAUUAGCUUGUUGGCGGGGUAACGGCCCACCAAGGCAACGAUCAGUAGGGGUUCUGAGGAAGGUCCCCCACAUUGGAACUGAGACACGGUCCAAACUCCUACGGGAGGCAGCAGUGAGGAAUAUUGGUCAAUGGGCGAGAGCCUGAACCAGCCAAGUAGCGUGCAGGAAGACGGCCCUAUGGGUUGUAAACUGCUUUUAUAAGGGAAUAAAGUGGGUCACGUGUGACUUUUUGCAUGUACCUUAUGAAUAAGGACCGGCUAAUUCCGUG
rnacentral:rRNA from 1 species